rnacentral:rRNA from 1 species
AUUGAACGCUGGCGGCAGGCUUAACACAUGCAAGUCGAGCGGAGAUGAGGUGCUUGCACCUUAUCUUAGCGGCGGACGGGUGAGUAAUGCUUAGGAAUCUGCCUAUUAGUGGGGGACAACAUUCCGAAAGGAAUGCUAAUACCGCAUACGCCCUACGGGGGAAAGCAGGGGAUCUUCGGACCUUGCGCUAAUAGAUGAGCCUAAGUCGGAUUAGCUAGUUGGUGGGGUAAGGCCUACCAAGGCGACGAUCUGUAGCGGGUCUGAGAGGAUGAUCCGCCACACUGGGACUGAGACCAGGCCCAGACUCCUACGGGAGGCAGCAGUGGGGAAUAUUGGACAAUGGGCGGAAGCCUGAUCUAGCCAUGCCGCGUGUGUGAAGAAGGCCUUUUGGUUGUAAAGCACUUUAAGCGAGGAGGAGGCUACCUGGAUUAAUACUCUAGGAUAGUGGACGUUACUCGCAGAAUAAGCACCGGCUAACUCUGUGCCAGCCGCCGCCGUAAUAC